rnacentral:rRNA from 1 species
AUUGAACGCUGGCGGCAGGCCUAACACAUGCAAGUCGAGCGGGGUUUUCGGACCUAGCGGCGGACGGGUGAGUAAUGCGUAGGAAGCUGCCCGAUAGAGGGGGAUACCAGUUGGAAACGACUGUUAAUACCGCAUAAUGUCUACGGACCAAAGUGUGGGACCUUCGGGCCACAUGCUAUCGGAUGCGCCUACGUGGGAUUAGCUAGUUGGUGAGGUAAUGGCUCACCAAGGCGACGAUCUCUAGCUGGUUUGAGAGGAUGAUCAGCCACACUGGAACUGAGACACGGUCCAGACUCCUACGGGAGGCAGCAGUGGGGAAUAUUGGACAAUGGGCGCAAGCCUGAUCCAGCCAUGCCGCGUGUGUGAAGAAGGCCUUCGGGUUGUAAAGCACUUUCAGCGAGGAGGAAGGGUGGUGUGUUAAUAGCACAUCAUUUUGACGUUACACGCAGAAGAAGCACCGGCUAACUCUGUGCCAGCCGCCGCGGUAAAAC